UGUGCAGCAUAGAGGAACCCAGACCUCAGCUUUGUCUCCCGGUUUCUGUUGCUGCUGUUGCA
rnacentral:pre_miRNA from 1 species